rnacentral:rRNA from 1 species
CGCGCAGGUGGUUUUUUAAGUCUGAUGUGAAAGCCCACGGCUCAACCGUGGAGGGUCAUUGGAAACUGGGAGACUUGAGUGCAGAAGAGGAUAGUGGAAUUCCAAGUGUAGCGGUGAAAUGCGUAGAGAUUUGGAGGAACACCAGUGGCGAAGGCGACUGUCUGGUCUGUAACUGACACUGAGGCGCGAAAGCGUGGGAGCAAACA